CUACGGGCCGCAGCAGUGGGGAAUAUUGCACAAUGGGGGAAACCCUGAUGCAGCAACGCCGCGUGGAGGAUGACGCAUUUCGGUGUGUAAACUCCUUUUAUAUAGGAAGAUAAUGACGGUACUAUAUGAAUAAGCACCGGCUAACUCCGUGCCAGCAGCCGCGGUAAUACGGAGGGUGCAAGCGUUACUCGGAAUCACUGGGCGUAAAGCGCGCGCAGGCGGCCUUUUAAGUUGGAUGUGAAAGCCUAUGGCUUAACCAUAGAACUGCACCCAAAACUAUCAGGCUAGAGUCUGGGAGGGGAAGAUGGAAUUAGUUGUGUAGGGGUAAAAUCCGUAGAGAUAACUAGGAAUACCAAAAGCGAAGGCGAUCUUCUGGAACAGUACUGACGCUGAGGCGCGAAAGCGUGGGGAGCAAACAGGAUUAGAUACCCGGGUAGUC
rnacentral:rRNA from 1 species